AUUGAACGCUGGCGGCAGGCCUAACACAUGCAAGUCGAACGAGUGGCGGACGGGUGAGUAAUGUCUGGGAAACUGCCCGAUGGAGGGGGAUAACUACUGGAAACGGUAGCUAAUACCGCAUACUAUCGGAUGUGCCCAGAGGGGACUAGCUAGUGGGUGGGGUAACGGCUCACCCAGGCGACGAUCCCUAGCUGGUCUGAGAGGAUGACCGGCCACACUGGAACUGAGACACGGUCCAGACUCCUACGGGAGGCAGCAGUGGGGAAUAUUGCACAAUGGGCGCAAGCCUGAUGCAGCCAUGCCGCGUGUGUGAAGAAGGCCUUCGGGUUGUAAAGUACUUUCAGCGGGGAGGCGUUACCCGCAGAGAAAGCACCGGCUAACUCCGUGCCAGCAGCCGCGGUAAUUC
rnacentral:rRNA from 1 species